GACGAACGCUGGCGGCGUGCUUAACACAUGCAAGUCGAACGGAAAGGCCCUGCUUUUGUGGGGUGAUCGAGUGGCGAACGGGUGAGUAACACGUGAGUAACCUGCCCUUGACUUUGGGAUAACUUCAGGAAACUGGGGCUAAUACCGGAUAGGAGCUCCUGCUGCAUGGUGGGGGUUGGAAAGUUUCGGCGGUUGGGGAUGGACUCGCGGCAUAUCUGCUUGUUGGUGGGGUAGUGGCUUACCAAGGCUUUGACGGGUAGCCGGCCUGAGAGGGUGACCGGACACAGUGGGACUGAGAUACGGCCGAGACUCCUACGGGAGGCAGCAGUGGGGAAUAUUGCACGAUGGGCGGAAGCCUGAUGCAUCAACGCCGCGUGCGGGAUGACGGCCUUCGUGUUGUAAACCGCUUUCGCCUGUGACGAAGCGUGAGUGACGGUAAUGGGUAAAGAAGCACCGGCUAACUACGUG
rnacentral:rRNA from 1 species